GACGAACGCUGGCGGCGCGCCUAACACAUGCAAGUCGAACGGAGGCAAGAGGAGCUUGCUUUUCUUGACUUAGUGGCGAACGGGUGAGUAACGCGUGAGUAACCUGCUCUGGAGUGGGGGACAACAGCUGGAAACGACUGCUAAUACCGCAUAAGCCCACGGAUCCGCAUGGACCUGCGGGAAAAGGAUUUAUUCGCUUCAGGAUGGACUCGAGUCCAAUUAGCUAGUUGGUGAGGUAAGGGCCCACCAAGGCGACGAUUGUUAGCCGGACUGAGAGGUUGGGCGGACACAUUGGGACUGAGCCACGGCCCAGACUCCUACGGGAGGCAGCAGUGGGGGAUAUUGCACAAUGGGGGAAACCCUGAUGCAGCGACGCCGCGUGGAGGAAGAAGGUUUUCGGAUUGUAAACUCCUGUCGUUAGGGACGAUACUGACGGUACCUAACAAGAAAGCACCGGCUAACUACGUG
rnacentral:rRNA from 1 species